UAUUAAUUGAGGAGGCACAAAUCUACUCUUUAAAAACAGUUCUAUGGGUCUAACUGGUUUUCCAUCCUUUGGGAUCUGCAAUACCCAAGGAUGAGAACAGGAUGUCUAAAUGAAAAAGCAAGACUGAGGAAAACCUGAACUGUCUCCAUCAAAAUGUACUACGGAGUUCUCCUUUGAUGCAUGUCAAAGAUUCAUUGUCACCUUUCAGAGAAACAACAUGACCACUAUUUCAUAUCUUCAUUCCAUAAUUAAUGGGCUGACUCAGGCACUGACAGAGCCCCUUGUGGAGCUCGCUGUGCUGAAAUACCUUUACUGCUCCAGGCUUUCUUAUUAGCUGAUCAAAAAUGUAAGCCUUGUGAAAGGCUGAGCUUCAGCUUUGCCUCUUUCGUUAUUUAACCUGGU
ensembl:lncRNA